rnacentral:rRNA from 1 species
GUGGGGAAUCUUAGACAAUGGGCGCAAGCCUGAUCUAGCCAUGCCGCGUGAGCGAUGAAGGCCUUAGGGUUGUAAAGCUCUUUCAGGGGGGAAGAUAAUGACGGUACCCCCAGAAGAAGCCCCGGCUAACUCCGUGCCAGCAGCCGCGGUAAUACGGAGGGGGCUAGCGUUGUUCGGAAUUACUGGGCGUAAAGCGCACGUAGGCGGACCAGAAAGACAGGGGUGAAAUCCCGGGGCUCAACCCCGGAACUGCCUUUGAAACUCCUGGUCUUGAGGUCGAGAGAGGUGAGUGGAAUUCCGAGUGUAGAGGUGAAAUUCGUAGAUAUUCGGAGGAACACCAGUGGCGAAGGCGGCUCACUGGCUCGAUACUGACGCUGAGGUGCGAAAGCGUGGGGAGCAAACAGGAUUAGAUACCCCUGUAGUCC